GUGAGGAAUAUUGGUCAAUGGGCGAGAGCCUGAACCAGCCAAGUCGCGUGAAGGAAGAAGGAUCUAUGGUUCGUAAACUUCUUUUGCAGGGGAAUAAAGUGCAGGACGUGUCCUGUUUUGUAUGUACCCUGAGAAUAAGGAUCGGCUAACUCCGUGCCAGCAGCCGCGGUAAUACGGAGGAUCCGAGCGUUAUCCGGAUUUAUUGGGUUUAAAGGGUGCGUGGGUGGUUUGAUAAGUCAGCGGUGAAAGUUUGCAGCUUAACUGUAAAAAUGCCGUUGAAACUGUCGGACUUGAGUGUAAAUGAGGUAGGCGGAAUGCGUGGUGUAGCGGUGAAAUGCAUAGAUAUCACGCAGAACUCCGAUUGCGAAGGCAGCUUACUAAGCUACAACUGACACUGAAGCACGAAAGCGUGGGGAUCAAACAGGAUUAGAUACCCUAGUAGUCC
rnacentral:rRNA from 1 species